rnacentral:rRNA from 1 species
UGCGUAGGUGGCCUGACAAGUCAGAGGUGAAAGGCUACGGCUUAACCGUAGUAAGCCUUUGAAACUGACAGGCUUGAGUGCAGGAGAGGAAAGUGGAAUUCCUAGUGUAGCGGUGAAAUGCGUAGAUAUUAGGAGGAACACCAGUGGCGAAGGCGACUUUCUGGACUGUAACUGACACUGAGGCACGAAAGCGUGGGGAGCAAACAGGAUUAGAUACCCUGGUAGUC